CGGGUGAGUAAUGUCUGGGAAACUGCCUGAUGGAGGGGGAUAACUGCUGGAAACGGUAGCUAAUACCGCAUAACGUCGCAAGACCAAAGAGGGGGACCUUCGGGCCUCUUGCCAUCGGAUGUGCCCAGAUGGGAUUAGCUAGUAGGUGGGGUAACGGCUCACCUAGGCGACGAUCCCUAGCUGGUCUGAGAGGAUGACCAGCCACACUGGGACUGAGACACGGUCCAG
rnacentral:rRNA from 1 species